GGCGGGGCGGGGCGGGGCGGGGCCGGGCAGGGGUAGCGGCGGCGGCGGCGGGAGCCAGCCGGCAGCGCCAUGGCCAAGUGGGGCCAGGGGGACCCGCGCUGGAUCGUGGAGGAGCGAGCGGACGCCACCAACGUGAACAACUGGCACUGGACGGAGCGGGACGCGACCGGCUGGUCAAAAACCCAACUGGAGCAGCUGCUGGUGGGGAUCGCGGUGGGCAGUGAGGCGGGCAGCUGUGAAAUAAGCGACCUGAAGCAAAUGGAAGGCGAAGCCUCCUGCAACAGCCGGAAAGGGAAACUGAUUUUCUUCUACGAAUGGAACAUAACACUUAGCUGGAAAGGUACAAUGAAAGAAUCUGGUGAGAAACAUGAGGGAUUUGUUGAAAUUCCUAACCUGUCAGAAGAAAAUGAGGUGGAUGAUACAGAGAUAAGUGUAAGCAAAAAGAAAGGAGAUGGAGAUGUGCUAAAGGAUCUUAUGAGAACAGAAGGAACUUCAAAAGUCAGGGAGGCUCUCAGACAUUAUCUGAAAGUUCUUAAAACAGAGUUUACUCUGGGAAUGAUCCUACCAACCAAAACUUCAGCUGGUCCGGAACUAGCGGUUAAAAAAAAAUUGAGUGAGAAUAACAUGCAGGAUUCUGUUUUACCAGUUUCUUUGGAUACAGUUGGUGUAAAAAUUCCAACAGUAAAGAUACUUCUGAAAGAGAUGUUUGACUCUCCGAUAGAGGAGCUUUAUAGCAUCUUCAUAACUAAGGAGUUGGUGCAGAAAUUUUCUAAAAGUUGUGCUGUGAUCCAAGCCAAAAGAGGAGGGAAACUUCAAAUGUUUGAUGGUUGUAUUACUGGUGAAUAUAUAGAAUUGUUACCCAGCCAAAGGAUUGUCAUGAAAUGGAGAUGCAGGGACUGGCCUCAUGAACAUUAUGCAACGGUUGCUUUGAAUUUCAAGGAUCGGGCAACUCAAACUGAGUUACAGGUAGAGUGCAAAGGAGUCCCUGUCUGUAAUGAAGACAGUACAAGACAGCGUUGGCAGAAGCAGCAUUUUGAAGAAAUACGUGUUUUACUGCAACAGACCAAAACUAACGCGGCUGCUACUCUGAAACCAGUCAAAUGGCAAGGUUAUUCUGAACCACCACCAUCUGCAGCAUCUUCCUGCUAAACAAGGCAUCCGUUAAAUCAGCAAGUCCACCUUAUAGUGUCUGAUAGAGGUGUAAGCCGGGUGUGCCGCUAGCGUUGAUUUGGGUGCUGUGGCCAUUGGCAGAAUGAAGGAAGUCAGAAUCUCAAUGGAACGGAUGGUUAGAGCUUUCAGCACCAGUGGACUUACCCCAGUUGUCUGGAUAAAGUCCUCCUCGUACUCAGAGCCUCUUCCUGUUCUGCUCUGUCUCUCCUGGUUGGGUUUUUCUGCAGUGGAGUCGCAGCUACUUGCGGGGUGGAGUUAUGGGGUAGAGGCCCAAACCUGCCUGUCUGACUUAGAGCCCUGUGCCCUUGCAGAGAUAGGGUCAGCUGGCUGGCUGGCUGGUGCUUGCACAGCUGCUCUGCCAGGCCUGACAGGGAGCAGAGGAGCUCAAUGGGAUGCAUGCAGCGGAGGUGACAGGUGGCUAUGAUCACCAUGCUGCCCAGAUGCCGGUACUUGCAUAGCUGCUGUGUCAUGCCUUGAAAGGGGGCAGAUGAGCUUGGCAGGGAGAUGCUACAGUGAGGCUUGAAAACAAUUUAACCACUCAAAAUAAUGAAUCUACAAGAAAAGGACGGGAGCGAAGCAAACAACAAUUUGACUGUUGUCACGGAGACAGAAGAUGUAGCACCAAGCAGGAAAAGGGAGUGUGGCUAGCACAGGCUGUGCUGCAGUUUAUGAAAACUUUGUACAGGAGGGGAAUAGCCCAUUUGUAUCAGAAUUGUGGGAGACACUGGGCAGCAGAAAGAGGGACUGAAAAUGGCAAGAGGGGGAGAAGAGGAGGCCAGAAUGGAGCAAAGGCUCAAGUCCUAGCUGACAGGUCAAUACUGAGGAAAGUGGUAAAAGAUUCAGUUGGAUUCUUUGUAUUUUUAAAUUGUUGGAAUGAGGUACACUUUACUGAACUGCCCAAUUGUAAAGUUAAUGCAAAGCAGACAAAACGAAUGGGAAAGAACUGAGAUUUACACAGCUUAGAAUGUAUUUGAGAAGCAUUUCUUAUUCUGCAACUAUUUCACAGUUCUCAAGUUGUCUUUGGUUAGAAAUCUGAAGACUGAAGCAACGUAUGUAAACAAAUGAAAAGUCAUCACAAUCAGUUUAAUGAAGUGCACAGAAUAGCGAUUGAUCAUGUCAAUAAAAAUAAAACAAUUAAUUUUACAUCAAGUGUGCUUUAUUUCCUCCACAGGUAUUCUGUUAAAUAAAGCACCAUAUAUAUACUGCCAGGCCACAGCUAAAGAGGAUUCUUUACAGAAUCAAAUUUCUUGUGGUUGUUUAGUAUACAAGUAAACUUAAUUUUGAUAAUAAGAACCACAGCGAUCUGAGGCAAUCUGCCUCUAUUAUAAGGUACAAAACUGGCACAGAGGACACCAUAUUAUACACAGUAAAAAUGCCAUAAGUUUAAAUUACAUCAUACAGGGCAAGGAGGCCCUGUUCUCCCAUACAGCCAUAUUAAAUGAAAGCCACUACAGUGAACUCUUAAUUACAUAAAACAUAUCCAUUAUCUGAUUGCCCUUUAAGAAAAGUACGGUAGAUGCAAAAAAUGUUUUAAUCUGGAGUUCUGCCUGACCAAGAAUUAAGCAUAUAAAUCUAUCUUGCCAUUCAAGCAGAGAGCACUGGACAAACUGAAGCACAAAACAGAAAUAAGCAAAACUUAUACAAACAGCAUUUUU